GCUGGGCGUGGUGGCGUGUGCCUGUAAUCCCAGCUACUCAGGAGGCUGAGGCAGAAGAAUUGCUUGAACCUGGGAGGCAGAGGUUGCAGUGAGCCGAGAUCGCGCCACUGCACUCCAGCCUGGGUGACAGAGCAGGACUCUGUCUCAA
rnacentral:SRP_RNA from 2 species